GGAUUACAGGCACCUGCCACCACGCCUGGCUAAUUUUUCUUUUUUGUAGUAGAGACGGGGUUUCACCAUGUUGGCCAGGCUGAUCUGAAACUCCUGACCUCAAGUCAUCCGCCUGCCUUGGCCUCCCAAAGUGUUGGGAUUACAGGCAUGAGCCCAGUGUGCCUGGUACAAAAUUUCUUGCUUAUCUUUGGAAUGCCAAAAAUCUCACCUAGAGCUGCAUCUUUCUCAUUCAUCCUGCUUGGCGUUAGUGCCUUCUGUUCUCUAAGGCUGCAGGUAUCCCCAGCAUCCCAAAUGCAGCCCCUUGACAAAUCUCCUGAUGACAUCCCCAUCCCUGAGGCCAGCACAGCUGUUGGCAUUAGUGACUUGGAGCCUGGACCUUCUUUUAGCCUCUCUGGAAGUCGCAGGAGCCUGAGAGUGAGGCCUUUGAAUGAUGCCCUGGACAGAGCUUGGAACAUGAAGGUGAAUACUGUUGUGGGGAGAAUGCAUCCCUUUGCCUGGCUCUGAGCCAGGGCCAGCUUUGGAUCCUGCUAGCCCCAUGGAUAUAGAGGUGACAGUACGAAGACUCACAGUAGUGGGGAAGUCCUGUCCUCAAGUCCAUGCAGCUCAGGAGUGGGAGAACUUGGAUCUGAGUGAGCCCUGAUUGUCGCCUUGAGGACCACUGUAUUUUCAGAGCCUUGCCUUGCUUCUCAGAGGUGAGAGCCACCUCCAUUUCAACACGGCCAUUGCUGGAGCUGAGGCAGCCUCCUAGCGCCCCAAGCAGGACAGAUGCUCUUUGGCUCCUUUGGGUUGGUUCUCAGAACGUCGCUCCAUGUAAGGAAUGGAAUGGGAUUACCUGCUCGUCUCCUGUCAAGCUUGGGGUAGCACUGCCUCUCUCAGGAUGGCUUCCUUCUUGAGAGGUUGAAGAACCCUUCCCAAGACUGGGCCAUCUUGCUCUGAGCACAGAGAAAUCACACAGGCUAAAAGUUAGAUACCUGGGAGUGGCAGAAAGAGCACAGACUUCAAAACCAGAAAGAUUCACCUUCGAGUCUUGGCUCUGCCACUUACCAGCAGUCUGACCUUGAAUGAACCUCAGCUUCCCCAUUGUAAAUGGGGGCUCAAGAAUACCUCCC
rnacentral:lncRNA from 10 species